UAGGGAAUAUUGCUCAAUGGGCGAACGCCUGAAGCAGCAACGCGGCGUGGAGGAUGAAGGUUUUAGGAUUGUAAACUCCUUUUGUAAGAGAAGAUUAUGACGGUAUCUUACGAAUAAGCACCGGCUAACUCCGUGCCAGCAGCCGCGGUAAUACGGAGGGUGCAAGCGUUACUCGGAAUCACUGGGCGUAAAGAGCGCGUAGGCGGGAUAAUAAGUCAGAUGUGAAAUCCUAUGGCUUAACCAUAGAACUGCAUUUGAAACUGUUAUUCUAGAGUAUGGGAGAGGUAGGUGGAAUUCUUGGUGUAGGGGUAAAAUCCGUAGAGAUCAAGAGGAAUACUCAUUGCGAAGGCGACCUGCUGGAACAUUACUGACGCUGAUGCGCGAAAGCGUGGGGAGCAAACAG
rnacentral:rRNA from 1 species